rnacentral:misc_RNA from 1 species
AACGCACAUUGCGCCUGCUAGUAUUCUGGCAGGCAUGCCUGUUCGAGCGUCAUUUCGACCCUCAAGCCCUAGCUGCUUGGUGUUGGUGCAUCUACGGCGUGCCGUAGGCUCCGAAAGACAGUGGCGGUCUCGCUAAGACUCCGAGCGUAGUAGUUUAUAUCUCGCUUAGGACGCCUUUGUGGGUACCAGCCGUUAAACCCCUUUUACUUUUAUAGUGGUUUGACCUCGGAUCAGGUAGGAAUACCCGCUGAACUUAA